rnacentral:tRNA from 1 species
GCAGAUGUAACUCAAUUGGCAGAGUAGCGGCUUGCCAAGUCGCCGGUACGAGUUCAAGUCUCGUCAUCUGCUC